UACACGCUGUGACUAGCAUAUCAAUAAGCGGAGGAAAAGAAACUAACAAGGAUUCCCCUAGUAACGGCGAGUGAAGCGGGAAGAGCUCAAAUUUGAAAUCUUAAAGGGUUUCCCUUUACGAAUUGUAGUUUAAAGAAGUGUUUUCUGUUGAGGUUUUGGUAAAAGUUCUUUGGAAUAGGACAUCAUAGAGGGUCGAGAAUCCCGUAUUUGACCUUUACUUUCAACUUUGUGAUACACUUUCAAAGAGUCGGAUUGUUUGGGAAUGCAGUCCAAAAUGGGUGGUAAAUUUCAUCUAAAGCUAAAUAUCGGCGAGAGACCGAUAGCGAACAAGUACCGUGAGGGAAAGAUGAAAAGAGCUUUGAAAAGAGAGUUAAACAGUACGUGAAACUGUCAAAAGGGAAGCGUUUGACACCAGUGUUGUUUUUCUGAAAAUCAAUUAAAGAACUGUUUAUGCUAAGUUGUUUAGACUUUAUCAGCUAACUGUUUAGUUUUGAGCUUUUCUUUAAUGCACUUUUCAGUUAACAAGUCAACAUCAAUUUCUUUUGCUGUAAAAAAGCUUGAGGAAGGUGGCUUGAGAUUCGUCUUAAGUGUUUAUAGCCUCUUGCCUAUGCAGUCGGAGAGAUUGAGGUCUGCAGCGUAGAUCCUUCGGGGCUAAAUGCAUUUGUGCUAAGUUAUAGCAUUUUAUAGACAACUUGUUGACUAUGAUUUGUCUUGUAGCUUACUCGCUUAUGUUAUUUUACCUACGCUUAGGAUGUUGAAGAUGUAGCACAUCAU
rnacentral:rRNA from 1 species